ACGUUCAAGAAAGACAAUUGAAAUGUGAAAGUUGUUUCAGCUGUCGGGAAACCUGCUGGAGAGAAGUGGAAAUAUUUGAGUGCAGAUGGACAUGCUGGGACAGUUAGCAUUUCUUCGCUGCAGACCCAAUGGUUGGUGCAGCUGAAUUAAGGAUUAUAAACGGGUC